CUACAGGCUUAACACAUGCAAGUCGAGGGGCAGCAUGUGGUUGCUGCAACCAAUGAUGGCGACCGGCGCACGGGUGAGUAACGCGUAUCCAACCUUCCCUAUAGUAGAGGAUAGCCCGGCGAAAGUCGGAUUAAUACUCUAUGUUUUCCAAUGCAGACAUCUAAAAAUGGAACAAAGGUUCACCGCUAUAGGAUGGGGGAUGCGUCUGAUUAGAUAGUCGGCGGGGUAACGGCCCACCGAGUCGACGAUCAGUAGGGGUUCUGAGAGGAAGGUCCCCCCACAUUGGAACUGAGACACGGUCCAAACUCCUACGGGAGGCAGCAGUGAGGAAUAUUGGUCAAUGGGCGAGAGCCUGAACCAGCCAAGUAGCCGUGCAGGAUGACGGCCCUAUGGGUUGUAAACUGCUUUUAUACAGGGAUAAAGUGACGUACGUGUACGUUUUUGUAGGUACUGUAUGAAUAAGGACCGGCUAAUUCCGUGCCAGCCGCCGC
rnacentral:rRNA from 1 species